AGGAUUUUAGUUAAUCUAUAAUAUCUAAAUUGCACUUAGAAGUAAUACCAAUAAAUAUAAAUCUUA
rnacentral:tRNA from 1 species